GUGAAAGCAGCCCUAGUCUGUGUAUUGAGAAUUAAUGAAAUUAACGUAAUCCUUUCCAUUAGUGGGCUUUUUAGAAAGGCCCCAGAUUUAGGCUUGAUCUCUGCUGCACCGGCUAAUUGCCCAGGUUAAUCUUAUUAAUGCCAUUGUGUAGAAGUGGUUAGCAGCUCCUAGUCUUGUCUAUUAUGCGCCUACUUUGGUCGUGUUAGUUCACAUUAGUGGGUGCGAUUUCCUCUGUCUAAGGCUCAGAUUCAUUAUUUAUGCUUCGAACUGCUUAAGAAGCACUUUAAAAAAAAAUAAACUGCCACAUAAACAUGCAACGCCCCCCCACUCCAAGUGUUUCUGUAGCAGGAUUUGAAUCUUGCGUCCCCGGCUCGGAGGACUGAACGGGCAUUGAAGAGUCACCUGGCGGAACAACGACACACGAAUAUUCCAAGAGACGUGAACGUUAAAGACCAGUGCCAUCUCAAAUCCCCGGGUGUGAAUACUUCGUCUGUCACGACUGUCCCUGGGAAUCCACAGGAGGUGAACUGAAUAAGAUUAGACUAUUUACCCCAUCAACUCUCCAUCAAAGAAGGUAGGAAAUUGUACGCAUGAAAUGAAAACAAGCCAUUAGAGUCCGUUUACGAGGAACACAUUAUUUUUCCUCAACAAAGAAUAUCCUCGUUAGCGCUUACUCGCACUUUAUCUUUAGCCUUCCUUUCCUCGAUAUUCCAGGAUUUAAAACCACACCUGAGAAUGAUCUGAAACGUCUUUAUAGCGAAAGACUUGUAUAAGCGUUAAAAAAAAAGAAUGCCAAAACUAAAUUCUCGCUUUAUUGAUACAUUCCAAUGUGAUUAAUUAGCUGCAUCGGUUUUUACUUCAAUUUAUCUGCCUAACCAUUUCUUUACCCCUUUGGCUUUUAGACCUGAACUUCGUGCAAGUUUUUCAAAUUUGAUGGAAAGUGAAACUAUUUGACAGAGGGUUCGGCGGGUUUUUUGGUUAGAUUUGGGAUAUUUUUUUCCUGUUUAUGUUUUGAGAGUUUUCUUUAUUUUUUUGUUUGUUUGUGGGUGGGCUCGUAGAGGGAGUUUCGGUUUGUUGGGGUUUUUUGGUCACUAAUUCCCUGAGUGCAGCCGGUCACGCUGCAUGCAGAGCA